AAAAACACCCUAUCUCAAAAUUUGGUUGAAGAACGCCCUAUCUCACUUCCAAAUAUAUAGAAAUUAUCCUGAAAUGGGGCGUUUUUGAAUCGGCAUUUGAGAUAGGGCGUUUUUGAAACGAAUUUUGAAAUAGGACGUUCUUGCACUCAGCAGUCGAUAUCGUCACAAUGCAAAAAAGACGCAACAGCAAGGUAAUUGAAAUGGAAAAAGUCCUGACUAAUAUUUUUUAUUUAUUUUCAUAAAAUUAUAUGGGAGUUAUAAUUCGAUGAUAUCAAUCAAAAACUGAAUUUUGAAUUUUUUACUUGUUACGACCUUUUGUAUUUCAGCGACGAUUGUUAGGCCUUUUUGCACUUCAGGUGAUGAUAUACAAGCCACGCACAUAUGAAUCACAUGCACGUGCUAAUUGAAUAAGAUUCUUGCGAAAAUAAAUCCCUCGCCCACCUGACCAUGCCAAAGCAUUGAACACGGUUACUCAUCACGGCUUUAAACAUUCUCAUUGUCUAGACGUCGCAGUCUGUAUAAUCAUUCUAAAGAUCCAAACACCACCAGACAAUUUGUCUGCAUUGAUCCCACAAUGUAGAAUGUAUGUAUGUUUAUGUGUACAGUUGCGUUAGGUUGGUUGUUAUGUGCCCUCAAGUCUGCUUUAUACAUAGUGGAAACUGCCGUCUAAAAUUUUGGUGCGACAGAAGCAUCUAAUCGAAGCUUUCAACACAACACGCCCAUCGCUAAGUGCGGCCGAUAUGGCCAAGUAUCAAAAGACUUACGCGCGAUUUACGAAUAAAGAACGUGGGGCAGCCCGGGACUUUGUGGCUAAGCGUGCUACGCUGGCAUAAUAGUUCGAAAUUAUUUUAGUUUUGAAUUUUACCAAUUUUAUGAAUUUUAAUUUUAUUUUUAUAUUGAUACGACGUAUUUACAUUUAAAUACGUAAACAAACAUGUAAAGAAUGGUGUGGUAUUACAUGCUUAUGUAUAUAUGUAUGUAUGCAUAAGUAUACAUACAAACAUGUGGUAUAGUCUGUUUUGUUAUUUUUUUGAAUUUGGCGAAUAAAUACGAAAUGAAUUUUUAAUAACGUAAAACGCAUG
rnacentral:lncRNA from 1 species